ACGCUCGACACCUACGGGAGGCAGCAGUGGGGAAUAUUGCACAAUGGGGGAAACCCUGAUGCAGCGACGCCGCGUGGAGGAAGAAGGUCUUCGGAUUGUAAACUCCUGUUGUUGGGGAAAAAGAGGAUGGUACCCAACAAGGAAGUGACGGCUAACUACGUGCUAGCAGCAGCGGUAAUCUGAGCGGGCUGGCAAGGC
rnacentral:rRNA from 1 species